rnacentral:rRNA from 1 species
GACGAACGCUGGCGGCGUGCUUAACACAUGCAAGUCGAACGAAGUGGCGAACGGGUGAGUAACGCGUAAUCAACCUGCCCUUCAGAGGGGGAUAACAGUUGGAAACGACUGCUAAUACCGCAUUCUGACGGUGGGGAUUGCGUCUGAUUAGCUAGUUGGAGGGGGAACGGCCCAACAAGGCGAUGAUCAGUAGGCGGACUGAGAGGAGUGAUGGCCAAAUUUGGACUGGGAAACGGGCCAGACUCCUACGGGAGGGAGCAGUGAGGGAUCGUCCGCAAUGGACGAAAGUCCGGAGGAGCAACGCCGCGGGAGUGAUGAAGGCCUUCGGGUUGUAAAGCCCUGUUAAUCGGGACGCGGUACCGGAAUAGAAAGCCACGGCUAACUACGUGCCAGCAGCCGCGGUAAUUC